AUACGGAGGGUGCAAGCGUUGUUCGGAAUUAUUGGGCGUAAAGAGCAUGUAGGCGGACUGUUAAGUCUGGUGUGAAAGCCCGGGGCUCAACCCCGGAAGUGCAUUGGAUACUGGCAGUCUUGAGUAUGGGAGAGGAAAGUGGAAUUCCGAGUGUAGGAGUGAAAUCCGUAGAUAUUCGGAGGAACACCAGUGGCGAAGGCGGCUUUCUGGACCAAUACUGACGCUGAGAUGCGAAAGCGUGGGGAGCGAACAGGAUUAGAUACCCUAGUAGUCC
rnacentral:rRNA from 1 species